GCUGGGCGCGAUGGCGCACGCCUGUAAUCCCAGAGCCUGAGGAGGCUUGAGGCAGGAGGAUUAUGGGUUCAAAACCAGCAACUCAGUGAGACCCUAUCUCUA
rnacentral:sRNA from 1 species